rnacentral:misc_RNA from 1 species
CUAAGGGUAUUACGGAAUGACCAUAAGGUCAUGGAAUAACGGAGACAUAUUGUAUUCAGUUUUGAAUGUUUAUUUGACAUUCAAAAAUAGAUAGGGCCUAUAGCUCAGCUGGUUAGAGCGCACGCCUGAUAAGCGUGAGGUCGAUGGUUCGAGUCCAUUUAGGCCCACCAUUUUUUUGCACAUUGAAAACUAGAUAAGUAAGCAAAUAGAUUUUACCAAGCAAAAAACCGAGUGAAUUUUUAACGAAAUUCAACAAGCUUAAUAAUCGCGCGUCGUCUUUUUAGACGACAUCACAGAUUAAUAACUGGUAAAGGUUAGUUAAACAUGAUUGUAUCUUCGAUACACAGUGCUUAACUAAGGAUUUACAU